AGACCCGAAACCCGGUGAUCUAGCCAUGGGCAGGUUGAAGGUUGGGUAACACUAACUGGAGGACCGAACCGACUAAUGUUGAAAAAUUAGCGGAUGACCUGUGGCUGGGGGUGAAAGGCCAAUCAAACCGGGAGAUAGCUGGUUCUCCCCGAAAGCUAUUUAGGUAGCGCCUCGUGAAUUCAUCUCCGGGGGUAGAGCACUGUUUCGGCUAGGGGGCCAUCCCGGCUUACCAACCCGAUGCAAACUGCGAAUACCGGAGAAUGUUAUCACGGGAGACACACGGCGGGUGCUAACGUCCGUCGUGAAGAGGGAAACAACCCAGACCGCCAGCUAAGGUCCCAAAGUCAUGGUUAAGUGGGAAACGAUGUGGGAAGGCCCAGACAGCCAGGAUGUUGGCUUAGAAGCAGCCAUCAUUUAAAGAAAGCGUAAUAGCUCACUGGUCGAGUCGGCCUGCGCGGAAGAUGUAACGGGGCUAAACCAUGCACCGAAGCUGCGGCAGCGACACUGUGUGUUGUUGGGUAGGGGAGCGUUCUGUAAG
rnacentral:rRNA from 3 species